GUUGAUCCUGCGGGAGAUUGCUACUAUUAGGGUUCGAAUUAACCAUGCAAGUUCAGGCUCUCUUCGGAGAACCGGCAGAAUGCUUAGGAACACGUCGAUAAUCUGCCUUUAGGUCAGGGAUAACCUUGGGAAACUGAGGAUAACACCUGAUAGGAUGUUAUCAUUGGAAUAUUAACAUCUCAAACAUUAGGCCUAAGGAUGAGUCGGCGGCCGAUUAGGCUGUUGGUGAGGUAAAGGCUCACCAAACCUGAGAUCGGUAGGGGCCAUGAGAGCGGUCGCCCCAAGAAGGACACUGAGAUACUGGUCCUAGCCCUACGGGGUGCAGCAGGUGCGAAGUCUCUACAAUGCACGAAAGUGCGAUAGGGGAACCCUAAGUCUUAUGCUCUGCAUAGGCUUUUGCCAAGAGUAAAUAUCUUGGCGAAUAAGUGAUGGGCAAGACUGGUGCCAGCAGCCGCGGUAACACCAGCGUCGCUAGUAGGGAUCGUUUUUAUUUGGCCUAAAGCGUCCGUAGCUGGAUUAAUAAGUUUCUUGUGAAAUCAUUGGGCCUAACUCAAUGGCGUGCAGGAAAGACUGUUAGUCUAGAAACCGGGAGAGGUUAGAGGUAUGGAUUGGGGAGCGGUAAAAUGCUAUAAUCCUUUCCAGACCACCUGUGGCAAAGGCGUCUAACCAGAACGGAUUUGACAGUGAGGGACAAAAGCCAGGGGAGCAAACCGGAUUAGAUACCCGAGUAGUCCUGGCCGUAAACACUGCGAGCUAGGUGUUGUGCAUUCCUCGAGAAUGCACAGUGUCGAAGCGAAGGCAUUAAGCUCGCCGCCUGGGAAGUGCAGUCGCAAGACCGAAACUUAAAGGAAUUGGCGGGGGCGCACCACAAGGGGUGCGGCGUGCGGUUUAAUCUAAUUCAACACAGAGAAUCUCACCAUAGGCGACGGCAGAAUGAAAGUCAGUCUAAAGGGCUUACUUGACGAGCCGAGAGGUAGUGCAUGGCCGCCGUCAGCUCGUGCCGCAAGGUGUCCUGUUAAGUCAGGCAACGAGCAAGACCUAUACCUACAGUUGCUAACAAGUUCUUUAGAAUGAUUGAGCACACUGUAGGGACUGCCUUGGAAACAAGGAGGAAGGUGUAGGCAACGGUAGGUCUGUAUGCUCCGAAUCCUAUGGGCUACACGCGCGCAACAAUGGUAGAGACAAUGGGAUGCAACUCUGAAAAGAGAAGCUAAACCUCUAAACUCUAUCUCAGUUCAGAUUGAGGAUUGUAACUCAUCCUCAUGACGCUGGAAUCCCUAGUAAUCGGACUUUAUCAGAGUCCGGUGAAUAUGUCCCUGCGCCUUGCACACACCGCCCGUCAUUCCAUCCGAGCAGGGUUUUGGUGAGGCUUAAUUUUCAAUUAAGUCGAGCCUAAGCUCAGUGAGGCGGGACAAGUCGUCACAAGGUA
rnacentral:rRNA from 1 species